rnacentral:tRNA from 1 species
AGGAUAAUAGUUAAUUAUAACAUUUAGUUUGCAUCUAAAAAGUAUUGAUCCAAUCAAUUUAUCUU